rnacentral:rRNA from 1 species
UACAGAGGUCUCAAGCGUUGUUCGGAUUCAUUGGGCGUAAAGGGUGCGUAGGUGGCGCGCUAAGUCGGGUGUGAAAUCUCGGAGCUUAACUCCGAAAUUGCAUUCGAUACUGGCGUGCUUGAGGACUGGAGAGGAGACUGGAAUUCAUGGUGUAGCAGUGAAAUGCGUAGAGAUCAUGAGGAAGACCAGUGGCGAAGGCGGGUCUCUGGACAGUUCCUGACACUGAGCACGAAGGCCCAGGGGAGCAAACGGG